UAUAUAGUUGUAUACGCUCACAGGGAAAAACCUUGUAGUUUCUUCCAGCAAAUCCCCACCAAACACGGACAUCCCAUGGAGUCGUCAAAUAUAUCUCAUUCUUUUGUGUGUGUAUAAUCCAGAUGCCACGGAGCUAGUAUAUAAACGCACGUACAGCACGUGUGCACACACAAACAACUCUGGUACUCCAUAAUCUCUUUUUAUUCGCUCUUAAAAUUUUAGGUCUUUAUUCAUUUUCUUUUCUUUAAUUUUAGGUCUCAAGUACUUGUGGUCUGAUCAGCACCUGGUGUCAGUUCAACCUACUAUAUAUCUGGCCUUGUGGUUUGUGGACUAAGUGAGAUAUUUUGAUCGGUCACUCUGAUAUAAAACCCGUAUACUAAAUGGCGGGGAGUGUAAACCGCUCAGUAAAAUUCCGGUUUAUUAACGCUACCAGAAACACUGAAUCACAUCAGCUCUAUCUCACACCUGGAGCAAAUACCGGAAACCUAGAAUGCAACAUCUGUAAGUAUCCAAUCCACGGCCGAUGGUACAGAGACGGUCAUAACUACAACAUCUGCAGAUACUGUGUCGACACAUUUGUACAACCAAUUUCAAACAACAAGCUCGACGUGACUCGAGAAUUUAUGAACCGAGUCUACGGAGAUUUUGUGGCACGAAACGAAUACAAUCUAAUGACAAGCAAGCUUUGCAGCGACUUGAGAUGCCUGGGCGUGACAUGCAGUAUGUGCAGACAUCCCAACAGGCGGCCCAAGUGGGCGUACGUUAAUACCUACAACGGUCACGUUUACGCGUGUCAUAUCGGAUGCGUGGUAGCCAGAGUCGGAGCGAAUCAGCGCGAUGAUAAUUUCGUUUUUGAUACUAAUCCAACUUGGCGUCUCGUGGGGAGAGUAAGCUUGUCGGUGUUGAGAAAUCUGGCGACAAAUUUGGUGCCACCGCCGUUUAACUCGGCAGUUAGUAUUUUUCUUAAGUUGCUGGCUUACCAGGCUCACAGCAGAAGACACACUUGAUUGUGCACGGCUCACACUGAGGAACUUAAUUAAUAUGGCUAUCCAAUUUUUUAUGAUGGGGGUGCAGGCAGUGCUAAUGUGUUAUGUUAGAUGCAUGAGUUUCCAUAUAUUUUCUUUUUCCUCUGGGGUUUCUAGCCCUUCUUUACCCAGAUGUAUAUAUAUUUUGAAGGCAAAAAUAUUUACAAAUACUUUGCAAACCAUUAUCAGAAUAAA